rnacentral:rRNA from 1 species
UCAACUUAAGAGUUUGAUCCUGGCUCAGAAUGAACGCUGGCGGCAGGCCUAAAACAUGCAAGUCGAACGCCCUAGCAAUAGGGAGUGGCGCACGGGUGAGUAACAUGUGGGAAUAUGCCUUUUGGUACGGAACAACGUUUGGAAACGAACGCUAAUACCGUAUGGUCCCUCCGGGGUAAAGAUUUAUCGCCAAAAGAUUAGCCCGCACUAGAUUAGCUAGUUGGUAAGGUAAUGGCUUACCAAGGCGACGAUCUAUAGCUGUUCUGAGAGGAAGAUCAGCCACACUGGGACUGAGACACGGCCCAGACUCCUACGGGAGGCAGCAGUUAGGAAUAUUGGACAAUGGGCGCAAGCCUGAUCCAGCCAUGCCGCGUGAGUGAUGAAGGCCUUCGGGUUGUAAAGCUCUUUAGCCGACGAAUAUAAUGACUGUAGUCGGAGAAUAAGCCCCGGCUAACUUCGUGCCAGCAGCCGCGGUAAUACGAAGGGGGCGAGCGUUAUUCGGAAUCACUGGGCGUAAAGCGUGCGUAGGCUGUUUUGUAAGUCAGAAGUGAAAGCCCAGGGCUUAACCCUGGAAUUGCUUUUGAAACUACAAGACUCGAAUUCGGGAGAGGAUAGCGGAAUUGUCAGUGUAGCAGUGAAAUGCGUAGAUAUUGACAGGAACACCAGUGGCGCAAGCGGCUAUCUGGACCGACAUUGACGCUGAGGCACGAAAGCGUGGGGAGCAAACAGGAUUAGAUACCCUGGUAGUC